GGGCCUCUAGCUCAAUUGGCAGAGCAGCGGACUUUUAAUCCGCGGGUUCCGGGUUCGAUCCCCGGGGGGCCCA
rnacentral:tRNA from 2 species